rnacentral:rRNA from 1 species
CCUACGGGUGGCAGCAGUGGGGAAUAUUGCACAAUGGGCGCAAGCCUGAUGCAGCCAUGCCGCGUGUGUGAAGAAGGCCUUCGGGUUGUAAAGCACUUUCAGCGGGGAGGAAGGCGUUAAGGUUAAUAACCUUGGCGAUUGACGUUACCCGCAGAAGAAGCACCGGCUAACUCCGUGCCAGCGGCCGCGGUAAUACGGAGGGUGCAAGCGUUAAUCGGAAUUACUGGGCGUAAAGCGCACGCAGGCGGUCUGUCAAGUCGGAUGUGAAAUCCCCGGGCUCAACCUGGGAACUGCAUUCGAAACUGGCAGGCUAGAGUCUUGUAGAGGGGGGUAGAAUUCCAGGUGUAGCGGUGAAAUGCGUAGAGAUCUGGAGGAAUACCGGUGGCGAAGGCGGCCCCCUGGACAAAGACUGACGCUCAGGUGCGAAAGCGUGGGGAGCAAACAGGAUUAGAUACCCUUGUAGUC